rnacentral:rRNA from 1 species
UCGAACGGGAAAGCUCCCUUCGGGGAGUGAGUAUAGUGGCGAACGGGUAAGUAACGCGUGGGAAAUGUGCUUUACUUUGGGUAUUUAUGAGGCUAGGGGUGUGAUUAUCGCGUGUGUCUCCCGGGUCGCGUAUUUCUCCGGGGAGAAGUGUGCGCUCUCCUUGGACGCUAUCGCUUAGGGAUGGUCCCGCGUCCCAUUAGCUUGUUGGUGGGGUAAUGGCCUACCAAUGCGACGAUUGGUAUGCGGGCUGAGAAGGUUGUGCCGCCACCCUGGGACUUGAGAUACCUGGCCCGAAUCCUACCGGAGGGAACAGGCGAGAAGCGUUUGGGAUGGGCGAAAGACUUAGCGAACGAAGGCGCGUUAGCCAAGAAGGUGUCUCUAUGGUUGUGAAGCGCUCGUCCGAUAUGUGGAAGAGAAACUUCUGCGGAUAAUAACCGCGAAAAGUUGAGUGUGUCCUCAGAGAGAAAGCCGGGUAAAUACGUGUGCCAGAAGGCGCGGUUAUACCGAAGGUGCGCACGUUGUAUCCGAUUCACCGGGUAUAAAGGGUGCGUAGGCGGCCUCGUAAGUCAGGGGUGAAAUAGGACGGCUCAACCGUCAAACUGCCCCUGAAACUGCAAGGCUUGAGUCCGGGAGAGGAAGGUGGAAUUCCUGGUGUAGCGGUGAAAUGCGUAAAUAUCAGGAGGAACACCGGUGGCGAAGGCGGCCUUCUGGUCCGGUACUGACGCUGAGGCACGAAAGCUAGGGGAGCGAACAGGAUUAGAUACCCUGGUAGUCCUAGCCGUAAACGAUGGGCACUAGGUGUCGGAGGAGUCUACCCCUUCGGUGCCGCAGCUAAUGCAUUAAGUGCCCCACCUGGGGAGUACGAUCGCAAGGUUGAAACUCAAAGGAAUUGACGGGGGCCCGCACAAGCGGUGGAGCAUGUGGUUUAAUUCGAUGCAACGCGAAGAAUCUUACCUGGGCUUGACAUGCAGGGGACAGGUGCAGAAAUGUACCCUUCUUCGGACCCCUGUGCAGGUGCUGCAUGGCUGUCGUCAGCUCGUGUCGUGAAAUGUUGGGUUAAGUCCCGCAACGAGCGCAACCCCUGUCUUCAGUUGCCAUCAGUUCGGCUGGGGACUCUGGAGAGACUGCCGGUGACAAACCGGAGGAAGGUGGGGACGACGUCAAGUCAUCAUGGCCCUUACGCCCAGGGCUACACACGUGCUACAAUGGUCGGUACAAUGGGCAGCAAUACCGUGAGGUGGAGCGAAUCCCAAAAAGCCGGCCUCAGUUCGGAUUGGAGUCUGCAACUCGACUCCAUGAAGUCGGAAUCGCUAGUAAUCGCGUAUCAGCAUGACGCGGUGAUACGUUCCCGGGCCUUGUACACACCGCCCGUCAAGUCAACCGAGUUGGCUGCACCCCAAGUCGCUGAGCUAACCCGUAAGGGAGGCAGGUGCCCAAGGUGUGGUUG